rnacentral:lncRNA from 1 species
ACGCGAGAGCCAUCGAGCCUAGCCACUGGAUUGCGGCAUGCGGAGAGGGUUAGAAUCGGGUGUCGCUAUCACUGCCGACGGAAUCACUUCUCCAUUGCCGCUCAGCACCGGUGACCCGAUCCCGGGCGUUCGAGUGUGGGUGCGGGGCAUUCUGGGGGAAAAUCUAGGUGUGUGAGUCCUUAGGGCGAUAGAAAUUUCUCACCAUCGUUGAACACCACCAUGAAGCCGCACCGUCGCGUGGACCGAAGAACCUACACCCCAACCCGAGGUAUGCUUGGUACCAUUUAGUUCACCGUGUUCUAGUCGUUAUACUGCGCGGAUAGACAUUGGGAUUGGCGGCCUACGGUGCAGAACUGGGUGUACGCCGGCGAAGUCGUCGCCUCGGCCGCGUUGGCGUAGUGCGCCGGUCGCAGGAGGAAGACGAAGAUCCACCACCGUUGGAUCUGGUACAUGCGGUCGUGAUUAGAUUCAAACGUACCAUUUCGGAUGGGUAAUCGUUCGUCGUCCGAUUUUGAUGGGACGGUAUCGGAUCAGAGUAGGCACUUUAGAUCUGGGCCGUAGGAUUAAUCGAACGGUUCGGAGUAUAGGUAACCUUUAUAAAAUCUGGAGCCUUAAUCUUGGAUCCGACGGUGGCAUGAGAGAGUUAGGCUUUAUCUGGGUCAAUUUAAUCAUGGCCGUCUGUGCCUGAUCUAACGGCUCCAAUCACCAGAUACCCCUUCGGCCUGUUCAUUUCGCAAAAGAGUCCCUGGAUUUGCUAAUAAUCAACCCGCAGUCCACACAGUGGCGCUCUGAGCCUUAGGAAAUCUUGCACCGGGCCCCUUGCGCUUCUCCAUUUUUGGUGCGCAGUCCAGAUAGUUAUUAUAACAGAGAAAUUGAAUUAGAAAUGGAAUUUUAGUGUAAAAAUAAAUGCUAGAACUUGUUUAAUUCAUAGAAAAUGCAUACUUAGUCCAAAUUAGUCCAUUCCAGUUCCGAUAAUUUUGUAAUAUUAUUGUUUAUCAAAUUGUGUCACUGUUUGGACAUGAAAGCCACAUUGAAAUUGAUAUCCCAAUUAAUCUUGUAGAAAUCACAUAGAACCUUUGGAAAUCCAUAACAUAAAAUCUAUAAUUCCAAAAUUAAUGAUUCAUGUUCCUAGGAUCUUAUAUUAAUGUGUAGAUUAUUAUUAUGUAUUUUGUUUACAUGUUUGAUGUGAUGUUAAUUUUCUUUAUAUACUAUGCUUGUUUGUAUUGUGGCGAGUAGAAGAGCCAGUGGCUGAGGAUCCCAAUGUUCAGCAGAUAGAAGUUGCUGAGCAGGAGCUCAUUGAAGGCAAGUUGUGCCCUUGAUCACUUCCUUUUUACCCAGUCAUGUUCUUAUUAAUCAUAAUGGUCUGCAUAGGUUAAUUUCGAUGGGACCCAAUAGGUUACCCUAGUUUUGCUAUCUUUAUACCUUGUAUUACCACUGAAUUUUUGGGUAGUACAUGAUAUUGCUUUAUGUGGUUUUAGGUAUAGAGAUAUACAUCACUCACGAUUACACUUUUUAUUAUCAGUUUAUUAUUACUACUAGGUGAGUGCCCGUGCAUUGCAACGGAACCGUAUAAUAACACGAUAACUUAUGUACAUAUGUGUGUUAUAUUGUUAUGGAAAAUGUUUCGGAAUCCAUUUGUGCCCGUGCGAUGCCACGAAAGUUAAAAUUUAGUAUAAAAUAUAGAUAUAGAAUGACAAACAUCACUACGAUACGAAUAUACGAAAGUUAAAAUUUAAUAUGAAAUAUUAGAGCAGAAGGAUUACAUAAAAACAAAACACAUAUUAUCAUUGACCCCAAUCUCUCACAAAUUCUUUGUCAACAAUCAAUAUAGAACUAAACUUGUACAAAUCAAAUUAUACUACAAUACGAAUAUAACCAAAAUAAAGUCUAAAAAGUGAUGACUAACGUUCAGCCAUGCAGACUACCAUCCCAGGACAAUGACUAUCAACGCUCCUCUCCAUAAAUAGCAGCUCCACCUGCACCAAGACGUCGUCGUCGCCAAACCAGCCAUUAGAUCAUCUCACGGUUACAAUAGUAGCGCUUUCAUAUUUAUGGGUCCAAGGGAUGCAAUUCAUGGCUUAAACGUUAUCCAAAACUGUCGUUCCAAAUUUCAAUUCAAGCCCUAACCUAACUGCAACCCAAUCGUACACAUAUGAAGAGCUAUUCCAUAUUUUGGUUUUGUUGUAUAUUAUUCUUUGAAAAGAAGCACACAGUAUUAAUAGAAAAUUACUUUACUAUACAUUGAUACAUACACAUGCAAAUUCUAGUACCAGUGCCAUUUUGAACAAAAUUUGGAAUCUCUAUAUGAAGUAUGAUACUUAGCAAAGCAAAGAUAAUGAAAAAUAUUGAUGAACCAACCAGAAGUAACAUAAGGGGCACUCUGGUCUGUGCAUAAGUGACCACAGAAAAUGGUGGCAAACUAUUUUCUAUAUAAAAAACGAAUAUCACAGAAAAUGGAUAUGAGAAAUUCCUAUCAUUGCAAAAAAUGGACCUGAGAAGCUCUAGUAGUUUUCUCCUUAUACAAAUGAACAUGAGACUCCUAUCUUGGAAAAAAAUGUGUCUCUGUCUUCCUGGAAAGUGUGAUAUUUUUCAUAUAACAAAACGAAUAUCACAGAAAAUGGUGACAAACUAUUCAAGCAUAAGAAAAUAUUUCAUAAUCACGAAAUUCGGGAGGCCGUCAUUACGGGAUGCAGCAUAGCAAGGCAAAACCAAUCAUGUAGUUCACAACAGCAGGUAUCAUUUUAUCAGUAACCAUUCAUUGUCUGAUAAUACAGUCAAAUUGCAAAAAGUUUAUGACAUAUGAUCCAUAAUUGAUUUCUAAUCUAACAUUAAGUGCCGAGAACACAAAUAGCAAAACUUUGAAAAUGCAACAAGAUACAACCAAUCUUGUUGUCUUGCUUGGGACUGGUCAGACAUUGAUAGUAUCCAAGCACCCAACGAGCUGCUCAAUGGUACAUGUGGAGGGAGAGGGUCUGGUUGCGUUUCCAGGUGGCUCUCCUUGAGGGCCUGUUCUUGUGGUGGGUGUGGCCCUUGCGGUGCAGGCCACGAAACUUCUUGCUUGUCGAGGUGAGGCCAUGGAGCUCACAAUGCAUGUGCAAAGGGUUGCAUAGCUAGUUGAUCAUCGGGUCUGUUUUGAUGUCUUUGUGGGCAACGUCCACAAGGAUGAUCUCAAAGUACUUGUAGGUGCUAUCCUAUGUUAGUAUAGAUGGGCUCGGCACGUCAAGCAAUUAGCAAAAAAAGAUUUGACAGAAAUCAACAAGCUAGUAUGUUCAAAGAGGAAUGUUCAUGUUACAAUCUGAUGUACCUCGUUCACCCAGUAGGAGUUAAAAACCCUCAGUCCACCAAGCUUGCGUCUAGCUCUCUCCUCAGCGACAGACCUCUUGUACCUCUAGAACUUGAGUUGGGUGAUACCGUGGUGCUUGGGCUUGCCAUAGAUAAUAUACUUGGGCAAAGGCCUCUUCCUACCACCACGCCUCACACGGACAAGGUACACAACAUAACCCUGAAGAUGAAUUACCACAACACAACAUCAAAUAAAAUCAUGACAUUGGUACUCAAUCUGCAAUAAUAAAAUAAAGUAAACAAGCCUACAUAGCAUACUACGUGUCUAAUGCUAAAAAAGCAUACACCAAAAAAUUCUUCCAGAUUAUACAAUAUUUAGGCUAUUUUAGAUUGAUAACUUUUGCUACGCAUCUAGAUAUGGUAAAGUUACGAACCUGGAGAUGCCAAAACAUGUUAUAGUUUGGCACAGAGGGAGUAAGUAACAAGAAAAGGCAUACAAAUCAGACAGCUGCAUAACUGCAACAAGACCCCCCCCGUGUGGCAUUAAAGCAAGCAAUGACUCACACUAACUCAGGCGAGUUAAUUGCUUGACCAACAGAAAAUAGUGUUUCCCCACUACCCCUUUUAAAUCUGCUAGCAACGUGAACAUAAUGAUAGGCACGAGAUAUUUAAUUAGAUCCAUUUAUCUAUCCAAAUACGGGGACGACAUCAUUUUCUUAUGAAUGCUAAGCAAAGGUUGCUACAUGCGGGAAAAAAACAAGCACAUGCGAGCAGCAAAAGAGGCAUCCAUUACGCCUAACCGUGACACAACCAGGGGAAAAAUCUCACGGGGAGAUUAGAGGGGAUUGAGGGGGAAAUUAGUUCAUUUCCACCAUAAUCCCCUCCAACCCCCGUGAUCCCCUUACCACCAAAUCAACCCUCAAUGUCAAGUUCUAGCUGAAAACUUGAGCAAAUAUGGAUCGACCUCAAAACUUAAAAAAAUAUCAUAGAAACUGAUGACUCCAAACAAAAAUAGACCGAGGCAAGGCUUGUGUGCUGGCAGCCAGUCCAAUGCAAGAGACAUAACCCAAACUUUAGUACCAAAACCAUUUCCCCCCUCGUCACUUCGUACCCAAACGAUUUUGAUGGCUUACUUACAUGAAAGCAAACAUCCCACGGAUAUGUAGCUAACAAGGAAGCCCGUUCCAUUAAUAAUAAUUUGACCCAACCGAAGACAACAAAACUAAAAAAAGAGGGGGUGGGGGAGACAAAUUUCAGCAACAGGAGCGCAUAAUUCGUCAGCAGAUAAGCGGAGGCGUAAAUAGAGUCGAGAUGAUGGACAGAGAGAGAGAGGCUCGGGGUGUUCCGGUGAUGUACGCACCUGUAGUUCUGGAACCAGACCUUGAUCUGGUUGGGCUGCUACGCCACUGCAAUUGUGCGAAACAGCGAUGAUUCCAAUGGAAUCCGGACCAGGCUGUAAAGGAAUACAUGCUUUAAGUAAUUAGCCAAAACAGAAUUUAAGCAGACAACACAUGGCACAUAUCUUUAUUUUUGUCACAAUAAGUGAAUUACCUUCAUCUCAACCAUUUGCACCCAAUCGACAGCAGUUCCUGUUGCUUUAGACAAGAACUCUGCCAAGGUCUCCUCAGCAAUAGCUAGUAGACUGUCAUAUUGAAAAAAGCUGACUUGAUCUGUGAGGGCCACCAAGCUAGCAAGCUCUUUCUGUGAAAUAAUAAAUAAGUGUUCUUAUUCACAAAAAAAACUUCAUAUAUGUUUUGUAUUUGAAGACAAUAAAGAACAUAAAUAACUUUCAAUUAUUGAGUAAAACAACUAAAAGAGUCUGUUGUAUAUCAUGCUACAUUACACCGCUCCCCACAUACUAAUCAGAUAUCUAGAAACGCAUGACCCAAUGCAUUAACCUCGCCAUUUGACUCCAUAGUUAUUUCUCAAUUCUAGAACAUGGAAAAUUAUAUGAAAUAAUAUUCACUAUUAAGCACCACCGUUUUAGCCGUUGCCAUACACGCAGAUGCAUGUACCUUCUCUUCCCAACAAUUAGAAGGGAAUCUGCAUGUACAUUUUCUUCCCAUACAAUUAGGAGUGUAUCUUAAUAGAUACUAACAAAGCAGCAUCAUUCCUUGCAGUCAGUUAGGCUAUACGAUCAUUGCUUGCGACAUAUCUAACUAUUCUUUCACUUAAUGAAUCAUGUGUUUUUAAAGCAUUACUCAACACAUUUGUACAUGGUAUUUCCGUGAUGGCUUCUACUUCCAUCCCAUGUGAUUAGGAACCCAGUUUAGUAAAUAGAUGUAUCAUCCAAAUGAUUCCCAUAUCUCUCCUUUUUACUAAAGACCCAUCCUACAACCCAACCAAUACAAAGGUAUAUGUGUAAAAAUCUAAAACCUAAUAAAGGAAUAUAAAGAACAUCAAUCCUCCACUUCUCAUAUAUUAUAUUCUUUAUUUGUAUAAUUCUAGCUUCCUGUGACAACUUUUUAACGCACCACUAUGCCAAUAUUUUUAAAGAAAUUCCUCGAUUGUAUAAAUAUAUAACAGAUUACAUCUUAAAACAGGAAAAAAGUUUAACACAUAUCGUGUGUGCAAUAAUAUGUUCAUCUAAAUAAUUGCUUGAUAAGUCGCACACAAACAGAUUUUUGUUUGGGACGCUAGAAGCACAAUAUCUUCAACAAGGAACUAUGUUUUUUUAUAAAGACACUCAAAAAAAGUGUCUCAGCAGAUAUAUCUCAAGGCAAACAAAUAAAUGUUGAUGUCCCUACAUCCCUCUCUCUCAACAUUAAGAGAUUAUUAAGAAAAUGGAGAUGUAGUUACAAGAACAUUUACCAUUUGAAAGAAUAGUUACCAUUUGAAAGAGAUUUAUAAAGCAAUAUAGAAUAAAAAGCAUACCUUCUCAAAGCAGCAUAUGCUUGAACCUUUUGAAGGGGAAAACUGGAGGAAUAGAAGGCAAUCAAGCAAUCAUAUUUUAGCACUAAAAGAUUUAGGUGAGAGCAGUAAAGGGUACUCUUCUCUCAUAAGAGAGUCAAUUAUAUACCACUGCACUUUUAGAACUAAAAGGUUUACCAUCUCUUCUGCUAUACUUGAUCUUAUACCACCACCCACCAGUAUAAAUGAAACACAAUUCUACUGCAUUCAGAUCGCACCUUAGGUCGCCGCCUCGGUCCUGGACAAGUUGUUGGGUGCGUCUGGCUCACCAGAAUCUGCAUUUCAGGUGGUUGUCGUCGUGACGCAGCCACCGGCUGCCAAGAACAGGGGGUGGCCGCUGGACAAUAUUGUAAUGCUUUGAAAUACAUGAUAACAAAGAAUACAAAUAAUACUAAAAUUAAUUUGUUCACAUGUAAACGGAUAAAAAUGAUUUGAUAUCCGAACUCAUUUUGACAGACCUCUAUUUUGUAUUUCCCUUUUAGAGCUUCAAUAGUUGCCAAUGCUUGAUUUUUUGUUUGAUACUUUAUGAAGGCAUAACCAGCUGCAAAGAGCAAAGUAAAUAGACAAUGUACAUUUGAGACAAUGCAUAUCAUUCUAUUCAUAAGGAAAGCAACUUCUCUGCAGGAUAUUACCUUUGUUUGUUGUGAACCUCUCAAAAUUUGCAAAUCCUUGACAUUCCCAUAUUUGGAAUAUCAUCAUAUCCCUACAAAGAACAAUCUAAGUCAGACACCACAAUGAUAAAGAUCAUUUGUACUACAAUAUAGGCUCAUACUGUGAUACAAGUAAAUGAUACUUCUACUUAAAGCUUUGGGAGUUACAGAACAUAUAGUGGACAAAAUAUGACCCAAACUAUUGUGCCGAGCUCAAUAAAUUGAAAUUUGACCCAAAACUAAAACCACAAUACUGAUAUAAAUCAUCUAAAUUCCCUAUCGUCCUAGUCUUCUGGCUGCAACCAUAAACCGUGCUACAUGAAGCACCUCCGUGAAAAGAGUUCAACCAAGAUUUUAAAGUAUUUAGCAAAGGCACGAAGAAUUGUCUAAACAUCACCUUCUUGCCUUUAGGGUCUUUGAUUUUCUUUGGAGGAAGAAUAUCCCAAUCAUCGUAGAUGUUGCUAGAUUGCUUAUGAAGUGUUGUAUGUGGCAUAAGGCCAGAUGAUCAGUGUUAUCAAACUGAAAAAUGCUUAUGAAGUAGUUGCAGGGACCACAUUGAUAUUUAUGAAAUAGGAAAUGGGCAGAAAGUGGAAGAAGAUAAACCGGUAAAGUCAAGUUGGCUGAAGCAAAUAGAAAACGAAGCUUAUUACCUCUGAGGUUGUAAUGUUGUCCUGUAUGGUUCUCAUGACAUAUCGAUGAAUUUGCUAGGAGUUUAUGAUGAUAGGACCUUGCUUUUCGACCUAGGGAAGUACACAUUUGGUGUGGCAUCGUUAAUAGAAUGUAUAUCUUAUAUGCGAGUUGGUAUAUUUCAAGUGCCUGAAUUUAGAUAGGCAAUUAUUAGUACAUUUAUAAGGUAAGAGAGUUUACUUCUUUCUGUACUCAAACAAUAAAAAUAAUAUGGUGUCUAAACAAAUUUAGACAAUUGAUUAUUAGUAUAAUUAAAAGGACAACUUAUAAGAGAGAAUUUACAUGGUUUACUGCACUCAAACAAUGACAAGAUCUAUGGUGCCUAAACAAGAACAGUAAAUCAGGCAUACCUUAUAAGUAAUGCAACAAUCGAAUUACUGAAGAACAAUACAGAGCAGAGUUCUAAAGCAGUAGAAGAAAUUCAUAACACUAUAAUCCCCAAUGGAGCCACAGUUCCCUUUUCCCCCACUCAGAUAACAAUCUUACAGCUCACAAAUCCUCUCCGCCAUGUUAACCAGAGCAUAGACUAUGGAGAGGCGGUGUUGCUCUCCGUGCAAGCGUGAGAGAAGGUGUUAGUUGAUGUCGCCGAAGCGGAGCUCGCGUGGGGGUGAAUCUCGACGAGCACGUCCUCACUGCCCAUCGCCACCUCCCAGCCGUGGCUAGCUAGAGAGUAGAGAGGAAGGACAUGGAGAGAUCAAAGUAGUUGCUCUCCAUGUGGCCUUGAGAGGUGUUGGUUGAGGUGCGAUGGUGGCGAGGCGCCCAAGCUUGGAUCCGUUGCCGUGGGUGGCGGACGAGCAGGCCUGGACCGGCAUUGGUUGAGACCCGAUGGCAGCGAGGGACAUGGGGGUGGGGGGUGGGGGCAACGCACGAGGUCGAGGCCGUCACGGACGAUGAUGGAGAGGUCGAGCGCCUUAACGACGUGGUCGGAGAAAUCAGGGACGAGGCAGACGAGCGGGGGCCGCGCGAGGGGCAAGUCCUGAGAUCCGAAGAGCGAGCAUGAGGGAGAGGGGAGGGUGCCGGGAUGGAGAUCGUGGGGGUGCGGUUGAGGUCGACGCCACGACAGUGGCGAGGUUGGAGGGAGCGACGCAUGACAGAGAUGUUAGGAUGAGAAGGUAAUCGAGAAUCGCGAUCUGCGGGUGUGAGAGAGAAAGCAGAGAGAGUGAGGAGACGAGCGGGCGUGGGCAGCGACCGACGGAUGACACAGACGGUGUAGAUUGACCGGAGGCAGAAUAGGCCGAGGCAGAACCAAGGGAGGCAGCCUACCCCUUACCUUCUUCAUAGUAGUAGAGAUUCAUGAUAAGAUCAUUAUGUUAAUGGGAACAUGGAGAACCACCUAGGAAAACAUUGCUACCACAAGGGUGGUAUGGGACGCCCUUGGCUGAUUAACUAGGAAAGCUAGUGGAUGACUACCUUACCCGAUAGGGACAAGGGAAGUAGGGGAGUGGUCAGUGUAGGGAGGUCCUUGGGUUGAUUUUGCUGCGAUGGCGGUCAGGCGAGGGAUCCCUGCACUGGUGCUUCAUAUAAAAUGUAGCGGGUUUUCUGAAGCUAGUGGAACUUUGUAAAGGCCUCGUAGUGGUACCGUGCCUCGCUUCCUUGGUAGAGGUGUAUGGGGUCCAAUAAACUCCGUGGCAAAUGGGUAACACGACUUGUGGGUAAAGAUGUGCAAACUCUCUAGAGUGUAAAACUGGUAUACUAGUCAUGCUCACGGUCAUGAGCAGCUCGAACACUCACAUGAUUAAUUUAUGGAAUUAAAUUCAAUUUAUCAUUCGCAUCGCAUUGGGAAUUAUUUUAUUAUUACUUUUAUUUAUUAUUACUACGGUUUGGUAUUUACUUACACUUAGUAACUGCUAAUAAAAUUUUGACCAACAUAUAAAAGCAAUGCUCAACUUCAGCCUUUAUUUUAUUGAUCAGCCUCACACUUCACAUGAACUCCCACGUUUGGUGAGUUCAUGCACAUGAUCCCCCACAACUUGUUGAGCGAUGAACAUGUGUGAGCUCACCCUUGCUGUCUCACACCCCCCACACAGGAGAAGAACAAGUGGUCGAAGAGGAGCCGCCCAACAGUGAAGCUUUCGACUUGAUCUAGGUGGCGUCUCCCAGUCAGCUUUGUGGCGCCAGGGAAAUAAUAAUAGUUCGCUUUAUUUUAUCAUUUAUUUUGUAAGACUUCCGCUAUGUAAUAAGUACAUUUAUGACAUUUAUCUCUAUGCACUCUGUUAUUAUAUGUGCUGUUCUUCCUUGGCGCACAUAUGAGACACACCCGGCUUUAUCCCAUAAAUCUGGGUGUGACAAUUUAAGAAGUAACAAACCACAAGUGGCAUGUGAAUCCUAUUCUUGUACUCAAAAAGAAUAAAGUUGAUUGGCGCAUGUGUAUCGAC